rnacentral:misc_RNA from 1 species
GCCUAUUUAAACAUAUUAGCCCGUUGGUCCUUUAUUAAAGUCACAGGGAUAAUUUUGUAAUUUCAUAUUUUCUGAAAUACAUAGAUUUCUGUGGAAGUCUUUAUUUAGAGUCUUUGUUGGUUAAGAAUCACUUUUUGGGAUUACUUAAAAAUUAAGGAUUUUUUUUGGAGUCCAAAUUCUUCAAGGUUCAAGUUAUUUUGGAGUCCAUAAAUACCUAUGUUUGUAAUGUAGUUUCAAAGUUUUCGAUCAAUAUGAAUUCUAGCAAUUAUAAUUCGAGUUAUGUGAUGUAAUUCAACCCUAGGUGUAAUGUCUAUGAAACCUUAGGUAUGAUGCCUAAGAAAGUUUAGGUAUGAAGUCUAAACCUUUUAUUGUACUAUUCACAGCCCAUAAAUCUCCUCUUCUUGUUUAAAUUCGCUUCUGAAUUCCAUCCUAUCACAAGCCCUAAUUCUGCAGCUAAAUUCCCACUCAUUUUAGCCCUCACAAAGCCUCAAAUUUUAACAUUAAUUCUAAAGCCUCAAAUUUUAACAUUAAUUCUAAAGCCUCAAAUUUUAACAUUAAUUCU